CGGAAGUGCCUUUCUGACCUGGACUGAUUAGUGCGUCGAGAACACCAAUCUUCCCAGUUCAAAGGGCACUUUCCUCAUUCCGACACCCUGCGACCAGCCGAUACAUCGGUGGAUCGAG
rnacentral:sRNA from 21 species